GACGAACGCUGGCGGCGUGCCUAAUACAUGCAAGUCGAACGCAGUGGGGACGGGUGAGUAACACGUGGGUAACCUCCCAUCAGAGGGGAUAACACUUGGAAACAGGUGCUAAACCGAUACUGAUGGAUGGACCCGCGGUGCAUUAGGUAGUUGGUGUGGUAACGGCUCACCAAGGCCAGGAUGUAUAGCCGACCUGGGGGGGUGAUGGGCCACAGUGGGAAUUAGACACGGCACAGACUCCUGCGUGAGGCAGCAGUAGGGAAUCUUCGGCAAUGUACGAAAGGCUAACCGAUCAACGGCGCGUGAGUGAGUAAGGUUGUCGGAUCGUAAAACUCUGUUGCUAGAGAAGCGGUAUCUAACCAGAAAGCCACGGCUAACUACGUGCCAGCAGCCGCGGUAAUAC
rnacentral:rRNA from 1 species